UGAAGCUGGAAUCGCUAGUAAUCGCGAAUCAGAAUGUCGCGGUGAAUACGUUCCCGGGUCUUGUACACACCGCCCGUCACACCAUGGGAGUUGGAAAUGCCCGAAGCCGGUGACCGAACCUUAGGGACGGAGCCGUCGAAGGUGGAGCCAAUGACUGGGGUGAAGUCGUAACAAGGUAAC
rnacentral:rRNA from 1 species